UCCAGUGUAGGCUGUGUAUGUGUCUCAGAUAUAACAUGGCCUUGAUGCAAUUAGGAAAGCUCCAAUGAGACUUCAUUAUGCAUUGUUAAUUGGAUACAGGGCAGUUUGCUCACUGACCCAAAAUGCCAUGAAGCUUCAAAAGCUUGGUGACUUUCAGAAAAUUGAAACUGAAUUACUUUGGCUAGAAGUAGUAUGAACUCUGGAUGACCUGGAAGGGAAAGUUCACCUUGGUGGGCGGUGCCAGAGCACCCUUGCCCCGCCCCCAGGAAACAGAAGGGCGGUACCAGAAGUAUAAGAAGGAAGGCCCCACUCAAUUGGAGCCCAGCAGCUGAGCAGGCAGGAGGCUUGGCCAAAGGCUCAGCAGCUGCGGCGAGCCCCUGAGUGAACACCGUGAUCUGGGGAGGCUACCGAGAGCCCCGCUACAGCCUGACACUUCCUCUGGUUCUCUGGGACCCAGACCAGACCCUCACCAGUGGACCAGGCCCCCUCGAACUCUGCUACCUUCAACCUCAGAGGAGGCUAUGGACACCCUGUCGACUCCUUCGAUCCCCUCCAAGCCUGCCGAACCGGGCUGGAGCCAGGCCAUCUUAGCUCCCGUUAGCUGUCAAACAUCUGUGGCAAUUCCUGCGGUUGAAAAAUGACGAGACACCGAACACCAGCUCAUGGUCAAACCUACAAGUAAGCCAUGCAACGGAGGUGAACGCAGAAGAAGAGGAAGUGGGAUCAGAGGAAUGUAUUAUCCAAUGUUAUACUGCUCUGACAGAUGCUUCACUCCUUUUCAAAUUUUGAGUUAGAAUCAAUGUGAAGGGACCCUUUUUGGAAUGCCGUUCUCUAAGAACUAGGGAAUUCAAGGAACUGCGCAAACUCCAAGAGUAGGCUAUGGAAUAACCCACAUUCAGACAGAUUCUAUAUCCCCUUCCUGUUUGCUUUGCAGGAAGCACAGAAAGAACAUACUGCAGUUAAGUUCCUCUUUCUUCAGCUACGAAUAUUUUACAUUAAAGUUUCACAUCAGUGAAUUAGGAACGGAGUAUGUUUUCACAGUAUCAGCAUUUCAGGUAAAAGCCAAAAAGGAAGGGUAUUUAACAAAAGGAGUACAGGUCUAAACAGACAUUUGUCUUACUCAUUUUGGGUAAAAACAAAAUUAGAACAGUUUUGAACACCUUUUACCGCCUUAACAUUUUCAGUGUGUACUCCAUUGCCAGGAACAGAGCUCAGAAAACAAUUGUUUUAAUUUCCUAA